CGUUACGUAGCAACUUUUUCUGCAUUAUAAUGCAGACGGUGUCCUGUUUUGCAUACAAUGUAACACACUCUAUAGGAGACUGUGAAUUGGGACAAAGUUUUAGGACGUGUGAUUGUGUUCCACUGCACUGCUUAUUGUCAAUCUUGUAUCUACGCUACGUUUUGGUGCGCAUUUAUAGAGAUACUGUGAUAUACUGUAGUACGAUGGCCGUUUCUUGACCAGCAUGAUGCCAUGUAUCGCACGAAUUACCACGUCAAUCCGUACUGCAAUAUUCUGGCAUUUUUCGUUUCUGAAUCGAAAACACUCAACGCAUGAUACACGAUGCAAGACAUACAAAGGCACACAUGCGCAUUUCCACGCCAGUGUUCUCGUCCGAAUGCGCACCGUCGUCCACGUUGACUAAUAAUUCUGGUGUAGACCGGUUAGGGCAAGAGUCCCAACAGCACCAUACUGCCAGCGGCUAGGGCGCCCGCCACGGGCACCGUGAUCAACGCGCAUCCCAUAAUGUUGCCGAAGACCUUCCAGUUGACGGCGCGGGAACUGCGGACGGGAAACACAUUGUAUGGCACAUCAAAGAAACACCCAAUAAAAAGUAGCCGACAGCCACCACACUGCCGACAAUACAGUGCGUCGUACUGACGGGCAGUCCGAUCUUGGAGCACAGCAGCACCGUCGUGGCCGUUCCCAGUCCGAUGCAGAAACCACUGUAGUACACGCACACACUCAUGCACCAAUCUUUUAAGAAUACACAAGAUGAUGCGCGUGCCUGCUGGGAAUAAUCACAGCCAGACUGCUGCCCACCGUCUCGAUGACCUUUCGGCCCAGGACGCACAAGCCGACGGAGAUGCCCAGGCCGCCGAAGAGCAGCAGCCAGAUGGGCGUGCUCGACUGCUCCGGCACGUGCCCGCUGGAGAACACCACCCAGAUCGCCACCACCGGCCCGAUCGCGUUCCUGUAUAUCCACAAAAUAAAUCAUAUGACUGUGACUUCCUUUUUUCUUUGGGUUUUUACUGGCAUCUUAAGUUUGUUGAUGCCAUUUAUUUUUAUUUUGAUGACGUUAAGUUCUACAGACGUUUGCUUAUCGUUACUUUAAAGACGCUAUUUAGUUUUGAUUCAAUGAACCCGUUCGGUAGAUUUUUUUAUG